rnacentral:rRNA from 1 species
UAUGUUAGUAGAUAUUGAAUAUGAAGCAAAAAAUUAUGGCGGUAUUUUAAGCUUUUCAGAGGAAUUUGCUCUUUAAUGGAUAAAACACCAAAAUCUUACUUAAAUUCGUAAAGUCAACUUGUAUACCACUAUUAAAACAAUUAUUAACUUUAAUUGUUAAUUUUUAAAAAAAUAAAAAAAAUUAAGUCAAGGUGCAGUAAAAGUUUAAGGAUGAAGUGAAUUACAUUUCUUUUAAGAGAUAAAAAAUUAAAUAAAUUUUAGGAUUUGAAAGUAAAAUUAAAAUAGAAUGUUAAUUUGAAUUAAGCUCUAAAAUAUGUAC